GAUGAACGCUGGCGGCAUGCCUAAUACAUGCAAGUCGAACGGACCAUCACAAAGAUUUUUGGAGUGCUUGCACAAAGAAAUGAUUUGAAUUUUGGUUAGUGGCGAACGGGUGAGUAACACGUGGGUUACCUACCACUAAGUUUGGGACAACCAUUAGAAACGAUGGCUAAUACCGGAUACGAUGUUUACAUUGAAAGGAGCGUUUGCUUCGCUUCGUGAUGGGCCUGCGGUGCAUUAGCUAGUUGGUGCGGUAACGGCGUACCAAGGCGACGAUGCAUAGCCGGACUGAGAGGUUGAACGGCCACAUUGGGACUGAGACACGGCCCAAACACCUACGGGUGGCAGCAGUAGGGAAUUUUUCGCAAUGGACGAAAGUCUGACGGAGCAAUGCCGCGUGAGGGAUGACGGUUUUCGGAUUGUAAACCUCUGUUGUAAGGGAAGAAAAGCACAAGUAGGAAAUGGCUUGUGUCUGACGCUACCUUACCAGAAAGCCACGGCUAACUACGUGCCAGCCGCCGCUGUAA
rnacentral:rRNA from 1 species